GACGAACGCUGGCGGCGUGCUUAACACAUGCAAGUCGAACGGAAAGGCCCUGCUUUUGUGGGGUGCUCGAGUGGCGAACGGGUGAGUAACACGUGAGUAACCUGCCCUUGACUUUGGGAUAACUUCAGGAAACUGGGGCUAAUACCGGAUAGGAGCUCCUGCUGCAUGGUGGGGGUUGGAAAGUUUCGGCGGUUGGGGGUGGACUCGCGGCUUAUCAGCUUGUUGGUGGGGUAGUGGCUUACCAAGGCUUUGACGGGUAGCCGGCCUGAGAGGGUGACCGGCCACAUUGGGACUGAGAUACGGCCCGGACUCCUACGGGAGGCAGCAGUGGGGAAUAUUGCACAAUGGGCGGAAGCCUGAUGCAGCAACGCCGCGUGCGGGAUGACGGCCUUCGGGUUGUAAACCGCUUUCGCCUGUGACGAAGCGUGAGUGACGGUAAUGGGUAAAGAAGCACCGGCUAACUACGUG
rnacentral:rRNA from 1 species